UGUGCAAAGGUAGCAUAAUCAUUAGUCUUGUAAUUUAAGACUGGAAUGAACGGUUUAACCAAAAUAAAAUUGUCUUUUAAUAAUAUUUUGAAUUUUAUAUUUUAGUAACAAAGCUAAAAUUAAUUUGAGGGACGAGAAGACCCUAUCAAGUUUUACAAAUUUAUAUUAUUUUUCAGUUUAAUAAAUUAUUUGUUUAGCUGGGGCAGCUAGUAGAAUAAAUUCUAUUUUUUUAUUGUAAUUUUAAGUUUUGUUUUAUCCUAAAUUUUGGAAUUAAAAAUAAAUUACUGUAGGGAUAACAGCAUAAUUUUUUUAUAGAGUUCUUAUCGUAAAAUAAGUUUGUGACCUCGAUGUUGGAUUAAGAGACCUAUUCAACGCAAAAGUUAAAUUAGGAAGUCUGUUCGACUUUUAAAUUCUUCCAUGAUCUGAGUUCA
rnacentral:rRNA from 1 species